rnacentral:rRNA from 1 species
CCUACGGGAGGCAGCAGUAGGGAAUCUUCCACAAUGGACGAAACUCUGAUGCAGCAACGCCGCGUGGGUGAUGAAGGUUUUCGGAUCGUAAACUCCUGUUGUUAGUGAAGAUAAUUACGGUAUCUAACUAACCUUCAUCGGCCAACUCUUUCCUAGCAGCAGCGGUCUUACGUAGUGUGCACGCGUUACUCGGAAUCACUGGGCGUAAAGAUCGCGUAGGCGGUAUAGCAAGUCAGAUGUGAAAUCCUAUGGCUUAACCAGAGAACUGCAUUUGAAACUGUUACACUAGAGUAUGGGAGAGGAAGGUGGAAUUCUAGGUGUAGGGGUAGAAUGCGUAGAGAUAAGGAGGAAUACUCGUUGCGAAGGCGACCUGCUAGAACGUAACUGACGCUGAUGCGCGAAAGCAUGGGGAGCGAACAGGAUUAGAUACCUCUGUAGUC